rnacentral:tRNA from 1 species
UCCCUGGAGGACUAGUGGUUAUGCCUCAGAGCUCUCACCACCAUGGCCCUGGUUCGAGUCCCAGCCAGGGAA